AGCAAAUGCUCAGUCGUAUUGCUACAAUGUAGCAGUAACAACGUUCUAGGUACUUUGCAUGUACUGGACAAUAUCGUUCCAUCAUCACAACAACACAUCUUUUAGAAGAAGAAAUUGCAGCUGGAAGAGGUUAAGUCAUCUUCUCAAUGUCACACAGCUGAUGAACUAUGGGGCCGGAACUGAGACCCAUUGGCGAAGUCAAGAAAUUUUGUUUUAUCCAAAAUGUUAUCCUUUCUUCAGUGACGUAAAAAAGAAUUAGAGGUUACAGAGGACAAGACUUUCCAUCAUAAAGUUGUUUUUCUGGACAAAUUUCAACAGCAA
rnacentral:lncRNA from 1 species